AUUGCCCCAGUAACGGCGAGUGAAGCGGCAACAGCUCAAAUUUGAAAUCUGGCCCGUUGCGGGUCCGAAUUGUAAUUUGGAGAAGGUGCCUCGGGUGCGACUGUGGCCCAAGUCCCAUGGAACUGGGCGUCACAGAGGGUGAGAAUCCCGUACGCGGCCAACGGUCCAGCCCGUGCGAGGCCCUUUCGACGAGUCGAGUUGUUUGGGAAUGCAGCUCUAAAUGGGUGGUAAACUUCAUCUAAAGCUAAAUAUCGGCUGGAGACCGAUAGCGCACAAGUAGAGUGAUCGAAAGAUGAAAAGAACUUUGAAAAGAGAGUUAAACAGUACGUGAAAUUGUUGAAAGGGAAGCGUUUGCAACCAGACUCGCGCGCGGGGUUCAGCCACCCUUCGGGGCGGUGUACUCCCCGUCCGCGGGCCAGCAUCAGUUCGGGCGGUCGGACAAAGGCGCGGGGAACGUGGCUCUCUUCGGGGAGUGUUACAGCCCCGCGUGCAAUGCGGCCAGCCCGGACUGAGGAUCGCGCUCUGCUAGGAUGCUGGCGUAAUGGUUGCCAGCGACCCGUCUUGAAACACGGACCAAGGAGUCGACCAAUUGGGCAAGUAUUUGGGCGUUAAAACCCAGAUGCGUAAUGAAAGUGAACGAGGUGGGAGCCCUCGGGUGCACCAUCGACCGAUCUUGAUGUCUUCGGAUGGAUUUGAGUACGAGCCUAAGUGGUCGGACCCGAAAGAUGGUGAGCUAUGCGUGAAUAGGGUGAAGCCAGAGGAAACUCUGGUGGAGGCUCGCAGCGGUUCUGACGUGCAAAUCGAUCGUCAAAUUUGCGCAUAGGGGCGAAAGACCAAUCGAACCAUCUAGUAGCUGGUUCCUGUCGAAGUUUCCCU
rnacentral:rRNA from 1 species